rnacentral:lncRNA from 1 species
GACUAAAGCCAAUCAGGAUAGUAUCUUAUAUCUAUCUUCCAUUUGAAAUCAUCGAACUCUUUGAUCUUGAGAGCUUUAGUGAAGGGAUCAGCUAGCUUCUCCUUUCUAUCGAUCUUUUGAAGCUUGACUCACCUCAGUUCACGAUCUCUCGCACCAAGUGAUAGCGGUGCAGAAUAUGUUACAGCAUUCGAUGCAAUAGUGUAUUCCGCUUCACAUAUAUAAUCGACCACAAUAUGUUACUUGAAACUCUUCGAGUAAAAAACUCCUCCAUUCAAAGUAAAUACGUAGCCCAACACGCUUCUACUAUCAUCACAAUCUAAUUGAAAAUUGGAAUCAGUAUAUCCCAUAAGUUUCAGA